CCUACGGGAGGCAGCAGUGAGGAAUAUUGGUCAAUGGACGCAAGUCUGAACCAGCCAUGCCGCGUGCAGGAAGACGGCUCUAUGAGUUGUAAACUGCUUUUGUACGAGGGUAAACGCAGAUACGCGUAUCUGUCUGAAAGUAUCGUACGAAUAAGGAUCGGCUAACUCCGUGCCAGCAGCCGCGGUAAUACGGAUGAUUCAAGCGUUAUCCGGAUUUAUUGGGUUUAAAGGGUGCGUAGGCGGUCGGAUAAGUUAGAGGUGAAAUCCCGAGGCUCAACUUCGGAAUUGCCUCUGAUACUGUUAGGCUAGAGAGUAGUUGCGGUAGGCGGAAUGUAUGGUGUAGCGGUGAAAUGCUUAGAGAGCAUACAGAACACCGAUUGCGAAGGCAGCUUACCAAGCUACUUCUGACGUUGAGGCACGAAAGCGUGGGGAGCAAACAGGAUUAGAUACCCCUGUAGUC
rnacentral:rRNA from 1 species